UUCAGCUCUGUUUUCCACCAUUUUUUUAACUACCAAAAACCAUUUAGCAUUGUUUCAGGACUCAGCAUCACAAUAUGAUUUUGCCAAGUAAGACAUGUUCCUGGAUCAACAUCUUUUGUUGAUCCUGGAUCAACAUUACUGUCCAAAAAUACAGACUUAACCCAAUCCCUACCCCUAAACCUAACUUUACCCACAAUUUAUUUCUAAAAUCAGAGGGAAAUGAUAGCUGAUUAACAAGGGUGUAGAUGCACCUUAGCCUAAAACUGACAUUUCCUGAAAAGUUAUCUCUCAAUUCUGAUUGGUUGAUUGGAAUGAUGUUCCUGGAUCAGCAAGGAUGUUGAUCCAGGAAAAUGUUGUACUUGGUCAAAUCACGCUCACCAGAGACAUAUAUAGAUCGGUGGCCUCCAUUUGCUUCUCAACCUUGUAUCCAAUGACUCAGAAUCCAGCAUGUAUGUAAACAGUAUGCGAAGGAGUUCCAAUCGUCUACAUUAGAGGCAUAAGUACGCUCAGACUCACAUUCAUUCUAGCUCAUCAAGGGCUAAGAAUAGAAGUCUACACUUCACCAUCUGCGUGCUACUGGUGUGUUUAUGCGACUUACUCUCUUAUGCAUUUUAUAUGGUGAGAAACUUGAGAAAAUGAUCCAGUAAAGCCCACAAUGGAAAUCACUUCUGCUUGCCCUGAGCUCUGUUGCUGCAACCAGCACCAUCACUUGCCAUCAGUCAUGAGAGGAGCACUGGGGUCAUUGGCUGAACACACAGAGACAUGUAUCAGGCUAAUUGCUGUGACGCGAGCUGGCGAGGCAACGGGGAAGGACAUGCAAUUAUGUGGCUCUGCAAUAGAUGACAAUACAGGGUUAAGUCUGAGCAUUGCAAAGAAAGCGAGCCCUGACUGGAUGCUGAGUUCAUGAUUCUCCUCCACUGUGUUAUCACACGAACCGAAUCUCUGAAGAAGAUUCUAAUAAUCGUCUGCCCUCUGCUGCUGAGUGUAAGGAUAACUCUCACGAAGCCAUUCAGUCAGCAUUAGGAUUGCAAUAGAGCAGACAGAAGUAAGUUGUCACAAAAAUAUUUAAAUAUAUUUCGGUAACUAUAAAGAUUUGAGUCAAAUGUGCUAUAACAAUGUUUUUUCAAGCAGCGGGUUUGUAAAGACUUAAUUCAAACCACUUAGAGUAUUUUUUUAAAUAAAUCUUUCUGCUAUAAGUUGGAUGAUGU
rnacentral:lncRNA from 1 species